rnacentral:other from 1 species
UUUCCCCUGCGAUGUUGGUGAAGGAGAAGUAGGUUUUGUUCCAACAGCGUAUAAUUUGGGAGUCCGGGGUCAUUUCAUGGUGAGCAUUCCUUAAGAUGGGGAAGCCUAAAGUGAAAGCAGGACACCCACUUGCUUUAUCGGGUUCAAAGCGAAACUCCUCACGGCAUCGCGGGGGUUUC